rnacentral:lncRNA from 1 species
GGGACAUUUACACAAAGCACAGCAAGAGAAAACCUUUCGUUCAAUUACCUACUAGGGUUUAGACUCUGAGGUUAGUUAGAGCCACCUCUAAUGACUCACGGCCAGCUGAAGCCUUGCACUAUGGAAAAAGAUCAAUUAUUCUAGCCAUUGAUUUCCCUUUGUCUAUUGUUUGUCGCUCUCUCUAUGCCUUCAUCUAUAGCAGGCUGUUCAGGGAAGGUAGACACAGCUCACAUGGUUUGGUGACGACAUGCUGUUUGUCAUUAGCUUUUCCAGUCUUUGUUAUUCCCAACUAUGUUUGUAGCUAUCCUUCCAAGGUCACUUCACCACCGUCCUUGUCUCUUCAUGGGGCCACUGUGGAAUCUUGAACAGAAAACUGUGCAGAUGAGUUUUGGCUCAAUCAACCAAUCUGCUUUUCUCUCUCUCUCUCUCUCUCUCUCUCUCUCUCUCUCUCUCUCUCUCUCUCUCUCUCUCUCUCUCCAUGAGUUCUUUAUUGUGUGUGUUCAAGUAUGAUUGUAUUGUGCAUAUGUGCACAGAGGUCAGUGGCCAGUUUCCAGUGUAAUUCCUCGGAUGCCAUCUUUCCUGUAGUUUUGAGACAAAGUCUCUCACUGGCCUGGAGCUCACUACUGCAAUAGGCUGGCUGCCCAGUGAACCCAGGAGAUCCGCCUCUCUUUGCCUCCCCAGGGAUGAGAUUGGAAAUGCGUGCCAAGAAGCCUGUGUUUGUGUGCACGUAUGUGUGUACAUGUGCGUGUGCAUGCGUGUUUUCUGAGGAUUGUACUCAGAUCCUCGUCUUGAUGCCACCUCACGUUCCAGCUCUCUCCAUGUGUUCUUGCACAGAGGAACCCGAGGAUGGAGAAAGAAGGCGGCCCUCUCUCUACAAGCCAUCAACACAAUGUGCUGGGACUUUGAUCUUGGACUUUCAACCUCCAGAACUGUGAAGAAAUCAACUUCUUUUGCUUAAUCCACCCAACCUAUGUCCUCCCUCCCU